GAUGAACGCUGGCGGCGUGCCUAAUACAUGCAAGUCGAGCGAACAGACGAGGAGCUUGCUCCUCUGACGUUAGCGGCGGACGGGUGAGUAACACGUGGAUAACCUACCUAUAAGACUGGGAUAACUUCGGGAAACCGGAGCUAAUACCGGAUAAUAUAUUGAACCGCAUGGUUCAAUAGUGAAAGACGGUUUUGCUGUCACUUAUAGAUGGAUCCGCGCCGCAUUAGCUAGUUGGUAAGGUAACGGCUUACCAAGGCAACGAUGCGUAGCCUACCUGAGAGGGUGAUCGGCCACACUGGAACUGAGACACGGUCCAGACUCCUACGGGAGGCAGCAGUAGGGAAUCUUCCGCAAUGGGCGAAAGCUUGACGGAGCAACGCCGCGUGAGUGAUGAAGGUCUUCGGAUCGUAAAACUCUGUUAUUAGGGAAGAACAAAUGUGUAAGUAACUAUGCACGUCUUGACGGUACCUAAUCAGAAAGCCACGGCUAACUACGUG
rnacentral:rRNA from 1 species